rfam:Capsicum annuum cultivar Zunla-1 chromosome 5, whole genome shotgun sequence
UGCACUGAGUUUAAGUAUAUUAAUAAGUGAAGGAGAAGAAACAUACAAGGGUUCCCUUAGUAAUGAUGAGCGAACUGGGAACAACCCAACCUUAGAGUCAGGCGGCUUUGUCAUCCAAACUAUAGUUUGGAGAAGCAUCCUAGGUGGCAAAAUAGGUCUAAGUCCCCUUGAAGGGGGCGCCAGAGAUGAUGAGAGCCUCGUUGUUCCUAAACACUAUUGUACCAUGAAGCGCUAUCUAUGAGUUGGGGUAUUUGGCAAUGUAGCUUAAAUACGACGGUGAAUUCCAUCCAAGGUUAAAUACGGGCAAGAGACCGAUAGCGAACAAGUACUACAAGGGAAAUAUGAAACGGACUUUGAAAAGAGAGUCAAAGAGUACUUGAAAUUGUUGGGAGGGAAGUGAAUGGGGGCUGGUGAUGUGCACCGGUCGGUUGUAGAAUAGUAAUGAGUUAGUCCGCCGAUUGACUCAAAGGGUGGACCAACAUAGAUUGGGAGGGCAGUUAAAGCCCAAGUUCUUGAUAUACUCAUGGAAUUGUCGUCUCCUUGAUUGUGGUAGGCAGCACGUGCCUCUAACAUGCUUCACAAUUUCCAUGCUCCAAAUGCUGGCUUGUGGGCUCCUCAUUCCACCCAUCUUAAAACAUGG